UGGGGAAUUUUGGACAAUGGGCGAAAGCCUGAUCCAGCAUACCGCGUGCAGGAAGAAGGCCUUCGGGUUGUAAACUGCUUUUGUACGGAACGAAACGGUCUGGAUUAAUACUCUGGGCUAAUGACGGUACCGCUAAGAAUAAGCACCGGCUAACUACGUGCCAGCAGCCGCGGUAAUACGUAGGGUGCAAGCGUUAAUCGGAAUUACUGGGCGUAAAGCGUGCGCAGGCGGUUUUGUAAGACAGGCGUGAAAUCCCCGGGCUCAACCUGGGAAUUGCGCUUGUGACUGCAAGGCUAGAGUACGGUAGAGGGGGGUAGAAUUCCGCGUGUAGCAGUGAAAUGCGUAGAUAUGCGGAGGAACACCGAUGGCGAAGGCAGCCCUCUGGACCUGUACUGACGCUCAUGCACGAAAGCGUGGGGAGCAAACAGGAUUAGAUACCCCUGGUAGUCCACGCCCUAAACGAUGUCAAACUGGUUGUUGGGAAUUUACUUUCUCAGUAAUCGAAGCUAACGCGUAAGUGACCGCCUGGGGAGUACAGCCGCAAGGUGG
rnacentral:rRNA from 1 species